UUUGGGUUUGGACACUUUCUUUGCUAGUUUUGCUUGAUCAUAACCGAGGGGACUUUGUUUUCAUCCUGCGGAAGGAUGGAUGUCGGGCCCGCCCAACCGCAUGCACUUGUAUCAUAUGUAUCAUGUGGAAAAGAGUGUGACUAUGAGAAGUACGCCAACAGGAUCAUUGGACAAGGCAAGUUUGGGACUGUACAUCUUGGGAGUAUUUCACAAAAAUGUUGUGACAGCUUUCCGACAGAGACGUACGUUGCGGUCAAGGUGAUACAUCUGCAUAAAACCAGCCCAGCUGUGGACGAUGGCUACGGCGCUUUGAAAGAGAAGCUGCAACGUUUGGUCAAGCUGCAGCAUGAAAAUUUAACUGAUUAUCAUAAGGUUCUUUUUAUUGAAGAAUAUGGAGGAGGAGUGACUAUAGAACUGUUGAUGAACUAUUACAGCGACGGAACUCUGAGCGAUUUGCUAAAUAAAAUAAAAAGAAAGCGAUGCCCUCCUUGAAUUAAGUGCCGCAGCUUGCUACGCAUUGCAAAUUGCUAAUGGAUUGGGAUUCUUACAUCAGCAGAAUAUCAUCCACGGAGACCUGAAACCACAGAAUGUAUUGGUGAAACGAUACGAAGACCGUCACAGCGCACUGUUCGUGGGAGAUUUCGACGAUUCUGUGCACAUGCGUGAAGAGCGCACCGUAUCUAGUGACACGUCAAGACUUCAUGGUACAUACCUGUACAUGUCUCCGGAAAUGCUUACGAAGUUUUUUCGUCAAAGCCAUGAAAGCGUCGGCAGAAAGACCGAUAGUUGGAGCCUUGGGCGCGUUAUCCUCGAUUUAGAUGAAUACUGUUCCGGUAUCCAAGAAAAAGUGCUCUGGAAUGCAAAUAAAUCUGACAGCUUUUUAUAUGACAGAGGUGUGACCGACUACGACUUUACUUCAAAAAUUAUUGAUGGAUACGCAUGGUCACUAGAUAGUAUCCCGUCACUUUUUCGGGGUCUUCUUCGAAGAUGCUUUUCUCGCAGUGCUCAACACCGGCCCACGGCUGAUAAAACAAAAGCGCUCAUUGAAGAACUGGCAGCAGAGACUGCUCAACAAGCGGCGGCGACUAUUUGCCCGUGUGUCUGCAAUACUCAACUGCACGGUGCACAAGAAACCACUGAAAAUAUUUUGGAGGCUGUUAGUGAUAACAAAAUACUGAUCGUGCACGAAUUUUAUAUUGCCGUCAACCUGGUGGAAAUUCGCGUGCAGCUGUACGACCCGCAAACUAAAACACUGCAUGGCGUGGUGCUUCCACCUUACCAGUUCUGCGAGAAUUUUGUUCCAUCAUCGUUCACUAUGGUCAAGAAUCGUUUGAUUUGCCAAGUCAGGUAAACGCCGGCUCGAUUGACAGAACCUCAAGUCAUACCCUAGCGAUUAUCUGCUUGGACCUGCAAAGCCGGGAAUGGCGUACCAUGCAAACCGAUAUCCAGGUUCAGGAAUGGUGUCUGCCCCCGGUAGCAAUCGGCGACCGGAUAUUUUUUUGGGAAAAUGACGGUACUGCUUUUAAAUACCGCGAACCAAAAAUCGCAAAGGUUUCGGGAGACCAAAUCACCGAAGUGCGUUCAGAAAGGAGUACUUUAACGGAUGAACAUAAAACAGAAGAGCCAGUAGCAACAUCUAAACACAGCAGCCACAUCAUGCUGCUCGGUCAAAUCUAUUCCGGCCUUUCUCAGGACGGCUACAGUGAGCAAUCGGUAGCGCGCUUCGACACCAAGACUUCUAAAUACCGAACGGUUGCGGGUAUUUACCGAGCAUUGAAACCACGGCAAAACUGUGCGUUUGCUGAAGUAGGCGAUGCGUUGUACGUCAUCGGCGGCGAUAAUCCAUAUCGCCGUGAUUACUGUAUUGAUUCGUGUCUACAAUUCGAUGUAGACACCAUGAACUGGAUAACCGCUGGCCCUCUUCGACUACCUCGAACUCGGCAUGGGGCCUUUGUUAUGGAUAAUCGCAUUUUCGUAUUUGGUGGCAGAUUCGAACGGACACACAAAGACUCCCUAACGGCGUUCAUGGAAAUUUACAAUCCCGAGCUGAAGACUUGGGCAGAGUAUCCUUUUACAAAUUUGGAUCAACGAACAUUUGAUUGUGGAAGACUCCAAAGAAGUACAUGUUUUCCCUUUAAUAGUCGCGGUGCUAGCAUAGUGCCGGAAAAACUUGCUCAUUAGUUUCUUUGAUAUUUACAGUAACUGAUAUUGACCAUAGUUAUGCACUUUUUGAGACGAGACGUUGCUGUUAUAUUGUAACAAUACUGAAGUAUAAACCACUGUUUUGCAAAAAUAACUGGUUAUAAAAUGUCGGCUUGUCGUAUAUCAUUUCAAUUUUCAUGUGUAUUUCGUGAUUUAUUAAA